rnacentral:rRNA from 1 species
GAUGAACGCUAGCUACAGGCUUAACACAUGCAAGUCGAGGGGCAGCAUGAACUUAGCUUGCUAAGUUUGAUGGCGACCGGCGCACGGGUGAGUAACACGUAUCCAACCUUCCGUUUACUCAGGGAUAGCCUUUCGAAAGAAAGAUUAAUACCUGAUAGUAUGGUGAGAUUGCAUGAUAACACCAUUAAAGAUUUAUUGGUAAACGAUGGGGAUGCGUUCCAUUAGGUAGUAGGCGGGGUAACGGCCCACCUAGCCUGCGAUGGAUAGGGGUUCUGAGAGGAAGGUCCCCCACAUUGGAACUGAGACACGGUCCAAACUCCUACGGGAGGCAGCAGUGAGGAAUAUUGGUCAAUGGGCGAGAGCCUGACCAGCCAAGUAGCGUGAAGGAUGAAGGUUCUAUGGAUUGUAAACUUCUUUUAUACGGGAAUAAAGUUUCCUACGUGUAGGAUUUUGUAUGUACCGUAUGAAUAAGCAUCGGCUAACUCCGUG